UUGAAUAUGUUCCCGGGUCUUGUACUCACCGCCCGUCAAGUCAUGAAAGGUUGGAGUGCCCAAAGUCCCUUAGUUUCGAACGGGGCCUAAGGUAAAACAACUGAUUGGGACU
rnacentral:rRNA from 1 species